UACAGGGGGGGCAAGCGUUGUUCGGAAUUACUGGGCGUAAAGGGUUCGUAGGUGGCCACUUAAGUCAGACGUGAAAUCCCUCAGCUUAACUGGGGAACUGCGUCUGAUACUGAGUGGCUUGAGUGCAGGAGAGGAAUGCGGAAUUCCAGGUGUAGCGGUGAAAUGCGUAGAGAUCGGGAGGAAGGCCGGUGGCGAAGGCGGCGCUCUGGAACAUUUCUGACGCUGAGGCUCGAAAGCGUGGGGAGCAAACAGG
rnacentral:rRNA from 1 species